GUGGAUGUAGCUCAAUGGUAGAGCAUCGCUCUGUGGCAGCGAGGGCUGCGGGUUCAAUUCCCGUCAUCCACC
rnacentral:tRNA from 1 species